CAUGAGUCUAACCCAUAUCAGCAGAUUCCAUGCUCUUCCACGGAUCUUCCAACAAAGAAAGCUCCAGAUGGUGCCUGAGGGACAAACAUAGGGCUGAUGAGACCAGGUGUGUCAAGUAGAAUCUAAAAUCAGGAAAGAGAGAUGCCCAGCCCCCCAGAUGGAACACUUAUGACUGAUGGGAUCCAAGAGAAAGAUGAUGACUGUGAAUAUGUGGAAGAUUAGAAAGGAGUGAAGAGGGAAUGAGAUCUUUCUGACUAGAUGCCAGAGGUGGAAGGUACCCACCACCUGAGCUUCCUUCUCUGUGAUGAUCCCCAGAGCUUGGCAACGAGUGGUGUGCACCUUCUUGGAGACAGGGAACACCUGCCAGAAACAAAGAAGUCCCAAGUGAAAUCCCAGAUCCCUCUAGAACAAUCCAUAAACAGAAAAGAAGUGAGAGAUGAAAAGGGGGUUAAAGAUCGAGCAUACUU